rnacentral:rRNA from 1 species
UACGGAGGAUGCAAGCGUUAUCCGGAAUGAUUGGGCGUAAAGCGUCCGCAGGUGGCUGUGUAAGUCUGCUGUCAAAGAGCGAAGCUCAACUUCGUAAAGGCAGUGGAAACUACACGGCUAGAGUGCGUUCGGGGCAGAGGGAAUUCCUGGUGUAGCGGUGAAAUGCGUAGAGAUCAGGAAGAACACCGGUGGCGAAGGCGCUCUGGUAGGCCGCAACUGACACUGAGGGACGAAAGCUAGGGGAGCGAAUGGG